rnacentral:lncRNA from 1 species
GCCACAAAUACAGGGUAUCCACUAUUCACACGGGCAGAGUCUUCCCUGUAUUUGCACGGCGUCGCACAAGUACAAGAUACAACCAUAAGUGUGAACACCCACAUACAAACACUAUUCACAUUCAUCACAGAUAUUCAUUUAUCCACAUCUAUUAGUUUAAAAUAUUUUUCACUUGGAAACUUAUUUUGAAAUGCUAAGAAUUACGAAAAUCAAUUAAUCCUUUUUAAAACCGUUUUCCAUACGGAAACCUUUUCUUUUAAAACACGCUACCUCGAGGGGUUGAAAAUUAUUUUCAUCUC